rnacentral:rRNA from 1 species
AUGGCGACCAAGCAGAGCCUCCUCGCCGCCGCAGCCGUCUGUCUCCUCCUCCUCCCGGCGGCCUACGCCUUCACCGAUGUCGAGUACUGCAAUAAGGGCAAAAACUACCCGGUGAAGGUGAGCGGCGUGGAGAUCGUGCCUGAUCCUGUCGAGCGCGGCGUGCCGGCCACCUUCAAGAUCUCCGCUACAACUGAUAAAAACAUCACCGAGGGGAAGCUGGUUAUUGAUGUUAAAUAUUGGAUCUUCAAUGUUUACUCUGAAACAGAUGACAUCUGUACGAAGACCCAAUGCCCGGCAACUUCUAAUUUCGAGCUAUCUCACUCGCAAACCUUACCAUCAAUCACUCCACCAGGUUCUUACACCAUUCAGAUGAAGAUGCUCGGAAAGCACGAUGAGGAAUUGAGCUGCAUCUCCUUCGGGUUCAGCAUUGGCUUCCUUGCGCCGGUUGCCUUGAGUUGA